CCUAAAGUUUACACAACAUUGGAUUGCAAAUCUAAUUAUAAAAGGAAAGCUUUUAG
rnacentral:tRNA from 1 species